rnacentral:rRNA from 1 species
AGCGGCGGACGGGUGAGUAACACGUGGGUAACCUGGCCGUAAGCUGGGAUAACUCCGGGAAACCGGGGCUAAUACCGGAUGCUUGAUUGAACCGCAUGGUUCAAUUAUAAAAGGUGGCUUUUAGCUACCACUUACAGAUGGACCCGCGGCGCAUUAGCUAGUUGGUGAGGUAACGGCUCACCAAGGCAACGAUGCGUAGCCGACCUGAGAGGGUGAUCGGCCACACUGGGACUGAGACACGGCCCAGACUCCUACGGGAGGCAGCAGUAG